GGAAGUAAAUUCCCAACUCUCCUUCCCUCGCCUUGCCAUUUUUUCUUCUGCAGCUGAUGACGUUAAAUUCGCAGAAUAAUAAUUGGAAAAAAGGAGAAAAAAAUGUAUUUUCCCGUGGGUGAUCCAUACUGGAGAUGUAGUGUUCCUCCUCAGCCUGAGGGAGGAAGCAGCCCAAAACAAAUCUUUGUUGGGUACUUGUCAUCUGAGGCAUCUAUGCUGAUGACUCCUCAUCUGUGGAGCUCUAAUGAUGGGAAGGGUAGUUCAGACUACUUGGGGAAAGAUAUCCUACAGUCACAUCCAGGUGCAUAUGGCAUAGAUGUCAGGCAUAUUCAUCCUGAAACUGGUCUUGGUGGACUAACAAGUGGGACCAGCAUUAGAGGUUAUCCAUCUCCAUUGAGAGAUCCUAGUUCACUAGGCCAAAGACCAGAUGUUGCUUCUCAUCCGAGUCCCAGAAUCCAUGAUAACAUCUUUGAUAGGCCGAGUUCUUUGAGAAGGAUUAAUGGCCUUCCAGUUACGGAGGAGAAUCAAACAUUCUUUUUGUUGAUGGGCUUCCAACUGACUGUUCAAGAAGAGAAGUAGGCCAUCUUUUCCGUCCUUUUAUUGGCUUCAGAGAGCUUAGAGUUGUUCACAAGGAGCCCAGACAUGCAAGUAUGCUUUAUCCCUGGAAAUGUUCUAUAACGACUUAAAUCCCUCAUUUGCAAUAUCAAGAGCAGUAUCAGAUUAUCUGUUUAUUAUUAUCUAUUACUCUAUCCUACAACAGUACUUUUGUUUUUGAUUGGGUUAAAUUGUUCAUAUUUGACAAGAUCAUAUGUUUUCCUGAGAUUCUCUUUUGGGAAAGAAUGAGGUUUGUGAAGUGUGGGAAUGUGAUUUGUGUGGUUUUGGGACUACUACCUGUGAUUUGCUCCAUGAUAUUCAAUCUUGCUGAGAUUAUGUUGUCUUUCCACUUUGGUUCCUUGUGGUUAACCACAUAUUUGCUUAUUUAGUAUUUGUUUGCCUUCCAUAGUUGUUGGCUUCUGAUCUGGUAUACUUGGGACUUUUUAAACAAGACUAAUGUUGCCCCCCCUCCUCUCUUUCUCUCUCAAUGCUUACAUGAACAUGUACAUCCUUUGAAAUUUGUAGCUGUCAACAGACCCAUAACAUCUCAGAAAUUACCAAUUUUCUCUUGCAUUUUUUUUUUCACUGAUACAUUGACCAUAAAUAUGCUGCAGAGUGGAGAUAAAGCCUGAGUGUUGUGCUUCAUUGAGUUUGCUGAUGCAAACUGUGCUCUUACGGCCAUGAAGCCCUUUAAGGUUAUAAAUUUGAUGACAAGAAGCCUGACUCCCUUUCUUAAGCAUCCAUUUUGCCACUUUUCCUUUCCGUUUACCAUCUGAUCAAGAUGAUCAACAGUCUGGAGGUUUACGGUGAUAUUGCAGAAGUUCUGAGGCGCUGAAAAGUCAGGGUAGCCCAAGUUAUGCAGCUCGCAAAUUCAGCAGUUUAGGUUCUGAAUUCUGGAGGUAGCUAUGUUACUAUAGCAUGACAAACUUUGGUUUCAGUUCGAGCUCAAUCAGCCCUUUAGCUGUAAUUCCUGCUUUUAACCUCUUCCUCAAGACUGAACCAGCUACUCCAACUGCAAGGGGUCAUCAUGUGGAAAAGUAAAGUUUGAGAGAGCCAGACUGAUGUAGUACAACUUGGAUAAACUACACAUUACAACGAAGAAAUUUUUGUGCAUGUCUAUAUGCCGAGCCGGGACCUUGAUCAGCAGAAUUGUCUAUUACAAUUUUUGUGCAUUCCUACGUGUUUUUGUGUGUGGCAGAAUUGGAGCCGGGACCUUGAUCAGCAGUGAUUUUCCACCUUAAAGACAGCCCUUCUUUGUUGGUCCAGGUUGGUUUCAGCUCGCUCAUAAUUACUUCUUGUUGAAAAAAAUCGACUGCUGAACUGCUAAUGAAUAUGAAUUUCCUGUGAGCAUCAUCUAGACCGUGGUGUAAGAUGACAGGAGGCAAAUGAUGCAGCUGUGGAGUCUUUUUUUCAAAAAAAUAUUUUUUUUGGCGUGCAUGGAUCAUGCAGUUUUGCUGCCUUGACACUUUCUGUUGUAUCACCGGUCAAUAACCGUUUUUACGGCAUUUUGGUUCGGGACCUCGGGUUGUAACAUGGUAGUCUAGAGUAAACGAGGUAAUUUGCUGAUUGCUACUGGGUUACAAGUCGAGGAAUAUUAAUGAAACAAGAAAAAAUAUUUGUCAACCUGGACUGCAGCGAUCAAGGUGGGUUGGCUCAACCACCUCUGGGUUUUUUUGCAGCAUUUAAAAUCCUAUUGACUUUUGACAGAGGAAAGAUGACUUCCUGAAGAGUGGCAUGAUUAUCAAUAAUGUUGACUCGUGAUUAAUGUAUGUGUGGUUGGGAGUCAGUACUGACUUGAUCUGAUAUAUACUAAAAUUCAGUGGUAGUGUGUUAUUUUAAUCUGCACGGCAGAAUUAACGCAAUGAAAAUUCUUCACAAACUUUGCU